GACGGCUGUGCUUUGCUGCAUAAUUACGCCCCGUCACAGGGCGAAUCUCGUGCACACCUUAGUUUACGAUUUGCUGCUAACUAUUAGCGACUACGAACGGGUUCUAAACGUAGGCUACGUUGUAGUCUGCAAUACCUCCGUGAAUGAACGGGAUGCUGCGACACUCGGGUUUUUCCCCAACUCAAGAUCGGUUCUCUUCUGCCUCACAACCUGCACGCUUGUUCAAUAAAGUUCGUAGGGAGACGUGGUCAUCGGCAGGGGCGUUUCUGUUCAGGAACCUGACCACGGUCAGCAGGACCGGAGAACAGCAGGCUUGUGUGCCGGAAACUCAAGUCAGCCUAUAAGCCUGAUUGGACAGCACAAAUAACGGAAGGGCCACCAACAUUCCGCCUUCAGAAUGGAGGUUAACCGCCCAAGGAGGACAAGAGAAGGCUCACGGCAGCCAUCGCUGUGUGAAGGGGAGGGACUGUCUAAAGAGCCCUGCCGGUCAGCUGUUUCCUGUCACUUCCUGUCUGCGGGACGCUCCCAAACCGAAGCCCUCUCCACCCGGCUGCUUGGUUUGGAUGGCGGGGGGGGGUGGGGGGGACCCCUAGCCCGUUCCCCUGUCCAUGGGGCGGCCUCCCUGCUUCUGUUCUGCCCUCCUUCCUGCGCCCACGGUGUUUAAGAAUGGAACCAGACCGCCAAGGUCCCGUGCCCCGGACUUCCACCAUGGCACCAUGCCAGA